rnacentral:rRNA from 1 species
UACGUAGGGGGCAAGCGUUGUCCGGAAUCAUUGGGCGUAAAGCGCGUGUAGGCGGCUGAGUAAGUCUGCUCUGAAAGCCCGGGGCUCAACCCCGGGAGGCGGGUGGAUACUGCUCAGCUCGAGUCCGGAAGAGGAGUGUGGAAUUCCUGGUGUAGCGGUGAAAUGCGCAGAUAUCAGGAGGAACACCGGUGGCGAAGGCAGAUCUCUGGGCCGUAACUGACGCUGAGGAGCGAAAGCAUGGGGAGCGAACAGG